AACGCACGAGACCUGCGGACCUGCGGAGGGAUCAUUAAUGAGAAGCUGCCCCUCGUGGGUAGACCUCCCACCCUCUGUGAACUUACUUUUGUUGCUUUGGCAGGCCCGUCCUCUGGACCGCCGGCUUCGGCUGGCCCGUGCCUGCCAGAGGAUUCCAAACCCUGUCUGUCAGUGUUGUCUGAGUCUAUAUGAAAUCGUUAAAACUUUUAACAACGGAUCUCUAGAUCGGAAGAGCACACG
rnacentral:misc_RNA from 1 species